UACGUAGGUGGCAAGCGUUGUCCGGAUUUACUGGGCGUAAAGAGCGCGCAGGCGGUCGAAUAAGUCGGAUGUGAAAGCCCCCGGCUCAACUGGGGAGGGUCAUUCGAUACUGCUCGACUUGAAGGCAGGAGAGGGUAGUGGAAUUCUCGGUGUAGAGGUGAAAUUCGUAGAUAUCGAGAGGAACACCGGUGGCGAAGGCGGCCAACUGGACGAAUACUGACGCUGAGACUCGAAAGCGUGGGGAGCAAACAGG
rnacentral:rRNA from 1 species